AUGCAGUUCUGGUGGUUUUGCACACGCAACUCUGUUGCCUUUGUUUCCUUGUUCUUAAUCAGUAAGAAGGGUGUAUCACAUAAGGCAGCAAAUUCCCCAAAUGAUUCAGUCUCUGAUGUUACUCAACAGGUCAUCAGUGAACUGAAUGGCAAAGACAUCAAUGAAGUCAUGAAUGCCGGCCUCUCUAAGUUAGCCUCCGUUCCAGCGGGUGGUGCAGUGGCGGUGUCUGCUGCUGCCGCUGGUGGCGGUGGUGCCGCUCCCGCAGGGGAAGCACCUGCAGCGGAAGAGAAAAAGGAAGAGAAGAAAGAAGAAUCUGAGGAGUCUGAUGAAGACAUGGGCUUUGGCCUCUUUGAUUAAUCUUUCUCUUGUACCUGUAAAAAUACAAUAAAAAAGAAUUUAUUUAUUAUUAUUUAAUUACUACACACACACACACACACACACACACACACACACACACACACACAUAUAUAUAUUACAUUUUGGGGUGAAAAUUGUAAUUUUUUAAUUUCUACUCCACUUGUUUGCUCCAAACUGAAAGCAUUGGUUGAGCGAAUUGUCAUGUCAGAACAGUCAAGAAAACCAUGAUACUUAAACCAUUAAACUGAGAAAAUAUAUUAAAUAAGGCUUUGAAGGAAGGUCACGGUGACAUGUUGCUCGGAGAAAAACACAAUGAGUGCCUGGCAAAAGCCUCUGAGCAUGUGUUGGUCAGAAGUCGAUUGCGUUAUUGCAGCCAUCAAUCACUAGUCUGUGGUGUAUAAAAAUAGGUCCAGGUUGCCAAAUAGCAAAAACUGGUAAUGUCUUGUCAUGCUCACUGCCCACUGUCACUCUCUCUCUAAAAUAAGCUUGAGCUUAAUUCACUGCUCAGUAAAAAAUCAAGGUUUCAGUAGAGCUUCUGCUGCUCUCCUCUCUCUUCCUGGGUGCAAAAGAUGUUAUGAACUGUUAUGUACAGUAAGUAAAUUUUUAAGUAAGUUGGUUCGUUCUCAACUUUUUUGAGGGUAACUGAGAUUAACUGGUGGUUAUUAACUGGUUUAUAAGUGAAAUAUAAAGAGUAUAUAUUUUGGAGGACGCUAUUGUCUACAAUUGUAAUCAGUAGCAUUUAAAAGAAACAUUUAUAGUUCUUUAAAAUCUUAAUAAUGUAUGUAAUAAUCAGGGUUUACAGGUUUAAAUAAAGGGGGGAAAUCUAAAAAUGGUGUUAAAUUAAGUUUACACUUAAUAGUUCACUUGAAAAUGAAAAACAAACAAACAAAAAAUUUUCACAAUUUACUGACCCUAAUAAGAAUUUCUUUCUUCACAAAAGAAGAUAUUUUGAAGUCGAUGAUUAUCAGGAACUGGUUGGUUACAUUCUUCAAAAUAUCUUUUGUGUUUAAAGGAAAAUGAAACUCAUACAGGUCCGGAACAACUUCAGGGUGAGUAAAUAAUUGCAAUUUUCAUUUUUGGGUGAACUGUCCCUUUAAUUUGGAAUAUUUUAGUUUGUUGGUCCUUAUAAAAGACAACAAGCUUGCAAUCCACUUGCUACAAUGAUAUAAUCCAGGCAUUUCAAGGUUUUUUUUUAACAUCACGGGAUGUUUUUAUGAAGCAGUAACUUUCAAUUGCCAUUUCUUGUGUAAUAAUAACACUUGUUAGAUUUGUGCUGGUCAGUCUAAGUCUGAGCACUGAAACAUAUACAACUAACCUAUUCAAUAAACUCUGCUCUUUUUUCAUCAUCACUUCAUCUCCUGCUUCUGCUCAUCACUGGCUUUACUCAGUCAACUUCUUGUGUAAGACUGUUAAUACAGUUUUGGGUACCAGAUAAGACUUGCUGUUAACAGGUUUUGGAUAUUAGACAACUUUGCUGACUAGUUGCUCUGUUACCAGACAAAACAGAUAUUUGCUGACAGGAUCUGGCAUCCGGGCCUGGAUCUGAUCAUUCUGGUGUGGAGGUAUGAUCUAACACAAUCCUACUUGAGGAUGUGAAGAUGAAGAGAACACAAGUCAGAGAAAAGAAGAUAAAUGAAGAAGAAGAGAAAAGGUGGGACAAAGCAGAGCCUUUUGAAGAAAUAAAAGCAGAUACUGAGUUACCGGAGGAGUACUAUCAUGGGCUUGAGGAUUUACCCUGGAACCUGAACUUACUGGAGCAUUUACUGUAUAUCAGCAUGCCAGCUUGGAUACAAAGAGGUGAGUAGCCCAAUAACAUACAUGAUCACUCCAGAAGAUUCAGUGCACUUCCAGCUUUAGUUAAUGACACUCAGCUUUUAUUCACCUUGCAUCAGAGCUUUAUGAGGGCCAGUGGGCAGCCCUCCAUCACUCUUACCCUCAUUACGCCCCUUAUAUCCCACCUGCUCUACAGAAGGAUCAUGUCGGGCAAAUGUUUUUGUGGUAUGAAGAAGAAGAGAAAAGGUGGGACAAAGCAGAGCCUUUUGAAGAAAUAAAAGCAGAUACUGAGUUACCGGAGGAGUACUAUCAUGGGCUUGAGGAUUUACCCUGGAACCUGAACUUACUGGAGCAUUUACUGUAUAUCAGCAUGCCAGCUUGGAUACAAAGAGGUGAGUAGCCCAAUAACAUACAUGAUCACUCCAGAAGAUUCAGUGCACUUCCAGCUUUAGUUAAUGACACUCAGCUUUUAUUCACCUUGCAUCAGAGCUUUAUGAGGGCCAGUGGGCAGCCCUCCAUCACUCUUACCCUCAUUACGCCCCUUAUAUCCCACCUGCUCUACAGAAGGAUCAUGUCGGGCAAAUGUUUUUGUGGUACAAGUUGUUCAUGCC
rnacentral:lncRNA from 1 species